AGCAGUCGCCACGGGAAUACAGAGGGUGCGAGCGUUAAUCGGAUUUACUGGGCGUAAAGCGUGCGUAGGCGGCUUCUUAAGUCGGAUGUGAAAUCCCUGAGCUUAACUUAGGAAUUGCAUUCGAUACUGGGAAGCUAGAGUAUGGGAGAGGAUGGUAGAAUUCCAGGUGUAGCGGUGAAAUGCGUAGAGAUCUGGAGGAAUACCGAUGGCGAAGGCAGCCAUCUGGCCUAAUACUGACGCUGAGGUACGAAAGCAUGGGGAGCAAACAGGAUUAGAUCCCCGGUAGUACCUGUCUCUUAUACA
rnacentral:rRNA from 1 species